AUUAUCCAGCGAAACUGCGAAUGGCUCAAUAUAUCAGUUAACGGUUAUUUGAUAGUACCUUACUACAUGGAUAACCGUGGUAAUUCUAGAGCUAAUACAUGCUAAAAAUCCCGACUCACGAAGGGAUGUAUUUAUUAGAUUAAAAACCAAUGCCCUCUGGGCUCCUUGGUGAUUCAUGAUAACUUCUCGAAUCGCAUGGCCUUGCGCCGGCGAUGGUUCAUUCAAAUUUCUUCCCUAUCAACUUUCGAUGGCAGGGUAUUGGCCAAACAUGGUCGCAACGGGUAACGGAGGGUUAGGGCUCGACCCCGGAGAAGGAGCCUGAGAAACGGCUACUACAUCCAAGGAAGGCAGCAGGCGCGCAAAUUACCCAAUCCCGACACGGGGAGGUAGUGACAAUAAAUACUGAUACAGGGCUCUUUCGGGUCUUGUAAUUGGAAUGAGUACAAUUUAAAUCCCUUAACGAGGAACAAUUGGAGGGCAAGUCUGGUGCCAGCAGCCGCGGUAAUUCCAGCUCCAAUAGCGUAUAUUAAAGUUGUUGUGGUUAAAAAGCUCGUAGUUGAACCUUGGGCCUGGCUGUCCGGUCCGCCUCACCGCGUGUACUGGUUCGGCCGGGCCUUUCCCUCUGUGGAACCUCAUGCCCUUCACUGGGCGUGACGGGGAAACAGGACUUUUACUGUGAAAAAAUUAGAGUGCUCCAGGCAGGCCUAUGCUCGAAUACAUUAGCAUGGAAUAAUGAAAUAGGACGUGCGGUUCUAUUUUGUUGGUUUCUAGGACCGCCGUAAUGAUUAAUAGGGACAGUCGGGGGCAUCAGUAUUCAAUUGUCAGAGGUGAAAUUCUUGGAUUUAUUGAAGACUAACUACUGCGAAAGCAUUUGCCAAGGAUGUUUUCAUUAAUCAGGAACGAAAGUUAGGGGAUCGAAGACGAUCAGAUACCGUCGUAGUCUUAACCAUAAACUAUGCCGACUAGGGAUCGGACGAAGUAAUUAAUUGAAUCGUUCGGCACCUUCCG
rnacentral:rRNA from 1 species